GAUGAACGCUAGCGGCAGGCCUAAUACAUGCAAGUCGAGGGGUAUAGGAGAGCUUGCUUUCCUUGAGACCGGCGCACGGGUGCGUAACGCGUAUGCAACCUACCCUUUUCUGGGGGAUAGCCCGAAGAAAUUCGGAUUAAUACCGCAUAAGACCACACGGCGGCAUCGUCGAGGGGUCAAACAUUUAUGGGAGAAGGAUGGGCAUGCGUGCCAUUAGCUAGUUGGCGGGGUAACGGCCCACCAAGGCUACGAUGGCUAGGGGAUCUGAGAGGAUGGCCCCCCACACUGGUACUGAGACACGGACCAGACUCCUACGGGAGGCAGCAGUAAGGAAUAUUGGUCAAUGGGCGCAAGCCUGAACCAGCCAUGCCGCGUGCAGGAAGACGGCCCUCCGGGUUGUAAACUGCUUUUGUACGGGAAUAAACCUCCGAUCGUGAUCGGAGCUGAAUGUACCGUAAGAAUAAGGAUCGGCUAACUCCGUGCCAGCCGCCGCGGUAAUAC
rnacentral:rRNA from 1 species